rnacentral:rRNA from 1 species
CGGCCCCAAGAUGAGACUUCGUCACAGGGUGGUCGAAGACUACGACCUUGAUAGGCCGCAGGUGUAAAGGCAGCGAUGUCAAAGCCGAGCGGUACUAAUUACCCGAAGACUUUCCGUU